rnacentral:rRNA from 1 species
GGUUAAGCGACUAAGCGUACACGGUGGAUGCCCUGGCAGUCAGAGGCGAUGAAGGACGUGCUAAUCUGCGAUAAGCGUCGGUAAGGUGAUAUGAACCGUUAUAACCGGCGAUUUCCGAAUGGGGAAACCCAGUGUGUUUCGACACACUAUCAUUAACUGAAUCCAUAGGUUAAUGAGGCGAACCGGGGGAACUGAAACAUCUAAGUACCCCGAGGAAAAGAAAUCAACCGAGAUUCCCCCAGUAGCGGCGAGCGAACGGGGAGCAGCCCAGAGCCUGAAUCAGUGUGUGUGUUAGUGGAAGCGUCUGGAAAGGCGCGCGAUACAGGGUGACAGCCCCGUACACAAAAAUGCACAUGCUGUGAGCUCGAUGAGUAGGGCGGGACACGUGGUAUCCUGUCUGAAUAUGGGGGGACCAUCCUCCAAGGCUAAAUACUCCUGACUGACCGAUAGUGAACCAGUACCGUGAGGGAAAGGCGAAAAGAACCCCGGCGAGGGGAGUGAAAAAGAACCUGAAACCGUGUACGUACAAGCAGUGGGAGCACGCUUCGGCGUGUGACUGCGUACCUUUUGUAUAAUGGGUCAGCGACUUAUAUUCUGUAGCAAGGUUAACCGAAUAGGGGAGCCGAAGGGAAACCGAGUCUUAACUGGGCGUUAAGUUGCAGGGUAUAGACCCGAAACCCGGUGAUCUAGCCAUGGGCAGGUUGAAGGUUGGGUAACACUAACUGGAGGACCGAACCGACUAAUGUUGAAAAAUUAGCGGAUGACUUGUGGCUGGGGGUGAAAGGCCAAUCAAACCGGGAGAUAGCUGGUUCUCCCCGAAAGCUAUUUAGGUAGCGCCUCGUGAAUUCAUCUCCGGGGGUAGAGCACUGUUUCGGCAAGGGGGUCAUCCCGACUUACCAACCCGAUGCAAACUGCGAAUACCGGAGAAUGUUAUCACGGGAGACACACGGCGGGUGCUAACGUCCGUCGUGAAGAGGGAAACAACCCAGACCGCCAGCUAAGGUCCCAAAGUCAUGGUUAAGUGGGAAACGAUGUGGGAAGGCCCAGACAGCCAGGAUGUUGGCUUAGAAGCAGCCAUCAUUUAAAGAAAGCGUAAUAGCUCACUGGUCGAGUCGGCCUGCGCGGAAGAUGUAACGGGGCUAAACCAUGCACCGAAGCUGCGGCAGCGACGCUUAUGCGUUGUUGGGUAGGGGAGCGUUCUGUAAGCCUGUGAAGGUGUGCUGUGAGGCAUGCUGGAGGUAUCAGAAGUGCGAAUGCUGACAUAAGUAACGAUAAAGCGGGUGAAAAGCCCGCUCGCCGGAAGACCAAGGGUUCCUGUCCAACGUUAAUCGGGGCAGGGUGAGUCGACCCCUAAGGCGAGGCCGAAAGGCGUAGUCGAUGGGAAACAGGUUAAUAUUCCUGUACUUGGUGUUACUGCGAAGGGGGGACGGAGAAGGCUAUGUUGGCCGGGCGACGGUUGUCCCGGUUUAAGCGUGUAGGCUGGUUUUCCAGGCAAAUCCGGAAAAUCAAGGCUGAGGCGUGAUGACGAGGCACUACGGUGCUGAAGCAACAAAUGCCCUGCUUCCAGGAAAAGCCUCUAAGCAUCAGGUAACAUCAAAUCGUACCCCAAACCGACACAGGUGGUCAGGUAGAGAAUACCAAGGCGCUUGAGAGAACUCGGGUGAAGGAACUAGGCAAAAUGGUGCCGUAACUUCGGGAGAAGGCACGCUGAUAUGUAGGUGAAGUCCCUCGCGGAUGGAGCUGAAAUCAGUCGAAGAUACCAGCUGGCUGCAACUGUUUAUUAAAAACACAGCACUGUGCAAACACGAAAGUGGACGUAUACGGUGUGACGCCUGCCCGGUGCCGGAAGGUUAAUUGAUGGGGUUAGCGGUAACGCGAAGCUCUUGAUCGAAGCCCCGGUAAACGGCGGCCGUAACUAUAACGGUCCUAAGGUAGCGAAAUUCCUUGUCGGGUAAGUUCCGACCUGCACGAAUGGCGUAAUGAUGGCCAGGCUGUCUCCACCCGAGACUCAGUGAAAUUGAACUCGCUGUGAAGAUGCAGUGUACCCGCGGCAAGACGGAAAGACCCCGUGAACCUUUACUAUAGCUUGACACUGAACAUUGAGCCUUGAUGUGUAGGAUAGGUGGGAGGCUUUGAAGUGUGGACGCCAGUCUGCAUGGAGCCGACCUUGAAAUACCACCCUUUAAUGUUUGAUGUUCUAACGUUGACCCGUAAUCCGGGUUGCGGACAGUGUCUGGUGGGUAGUUUGACUGGGGCGGUCUCCUCCUAAAGAGUAACGGAGGAGCACGAAGGUUGGCUAAUCCUGGUCGGACAUCAGGAGGUUAGUGCAAUGGCAUAAGCCAGCUUGACUGCGAGCGUGACGGCGCGAGCAGGUGCGAAAGCAGGUCAUAGUGAUCCGGUGGUUCUGAAUGGAAGGGCCAUCGCUCAACGGAUAAAAGGUACUCCGGGGAUAACAGGCUGAUACCGCCCAAGAGUUCAUAUCGACGGCGGUGUUUGGCACCUCGAUGUCGGCUCAUCACAUCCUGGGGCUGAAGUAGGUCCCAAGGGUAUGGCUGUUCGCCAUUUAAAGUGGUACGCGAGCUGGGUUUAGAACGUCGUGAGACAGUUCGGUCCCUAUCUGCCGUGGGCGCUGGAGAACUGAGGGGGGCUGCUCCUAGUACGAGAGGACCGGAGUGGACGCAUCACUGGUGUUCGGGUUGUCAUGCCAAUGGCACUGCCCGGUAGCUAAAUGCGGAAGAGAUAAGUGCUGAAAGCAUCUAAGCACGAAACUUGCCCCGAGAUGAGUUCUCCCUGACCCUUUAAGGGUCCUGAAGGAACGUUGAAGACGACGACGUUGAUAGGCCGGGUGUGUAAGCGCAGCGAUGCGUUGAGCUAACCGGUACUAAUGAACCGUGAGGCUUAACCUU